rnacentral:rRNA from 1 species
CAGCAGCCGCGGUAAUACGUAGGUGGCAAGCGUUGUCCGAAAUUAUUGGGCGUAAAGCGCGCGCAGGCGGAUCAGUCAGUCUGUCUUAAAAGUUCGGGGCUUAACCCCGUGAUGGGAUGGAAACUGCUGAUCUAGAGUAUCGGAGAGGAAAGUGGAAUUCCCAGUGUAGCGGUGAAAUGCGUAGAUAUUAGGAAGAACACCAGUGGCGAAGGCGACUUUCUGAACGAAAACCGACGCUGAGGCGCGAAAGCCAGGGGAGCGAACGGGAUUAGAUACCACCGUAGUCCUGUCUCUUAUACAC